rnacentral:rRNA from 1 species
AACGCUAGCUACAGGCUUAACACAUGCAAGUCGAGGGGAAACGACAUCGAAAGCUUGCUUUUGAUGGGCGUCGACCGGCGCACGGGUGAGUAACGCGUAUCCAACCUGCCCACCACUUGGGGAUAACCUUGCGAAAGUAAGACUAAUACCCAAUGAUGUCUCUAGAAGACAUCUGAAAGAGAUUAAAGAUUUAUCGGUGAUGGAUGGGGAUGCGUCUGAUUAGCUUGUUGGCGGGGUAACGGCCCACCAAGGCAACGAUCAGUAGGGGUUCUGAGAGGAAGGUCCCCCACAUUGGAACUGAGACACGGUCCAAACUCUUACGGGAGGCAGCAGUGAGGAAUAUUGGUCAAUGGGCGAGAGCCUGAACCAGCCAAGUAGCGUGCAGGAAGACGGCCCUAUGGGUUGUAAACUGCUUUUAUAAGGGAAUAAAGUGAGUCUCGUGAGACUUUUUGCAUGUACCUUAUGAAUAAGGACCGGCUAAUUCCGUGCCAGCAGCCGCGGUAAUACGGAAGGUCCGGGCGUUAUCCGGAUUUAUUGGGUUUAAAGGGAGCGUAGAUGGAUGUUUAAGUCAGUUGUGAAAGUUUGCGGCUCAACCGUAAAAUUGCAGUUGAUACUGGAUAUCUUGAGUGCAGUUGAGGCAGGCGGAAUUCGUGGUGUAGCGGUGAAAUGCUUAGAUAUCACGAAGAACUCCGAUU